CAGCUGUACAAGGGUACAUAGCUGUGUACAAACACCUCAGUGCACCAUGGGAAGAACUUUAGUCAGCAUUGUAAUAUUAUUUAUAAUGCUUAAAUACUGUGUCACACAGCUGUCCAUUGAAGACUGCGUACGGUGGGAACUGUCAGGUCUACAUCCAUCACAAAACAUGAUCUCAGUGGAGGACAACAGCUACAUCAACUUGACAUUCUACACCAGACAUGAUGCCUGCCUGGGGACAAACAACCCAACCUUCAUCAAGUUGUCCAUGCUUGGAAGAAAGUCUCCAGCUGGACUUGUGCAAAUGCUUUCUGGACAACCAGACCCUCCUGGGAACAACCCGAGACUGCCGCUGCUCCGACAGUCAGGUCUUCCAGGGAGCUUUCUGAUGAACAGCAAUGCUUUUGUACAGCAGAUGGCAACAUGAUCCAGUUGUCUGCGAAGUCCCCGACAUCAGACAUAGCUUUGUAUAUCUGGAAAUGGAUUUAUUCUGAUGGGUCGGAAAAGUCCAAAGCAAGCCUUUAUUGUGUCUGCUAAACCACAGGGCAGAGAGAAUGCAACCUGCUUGGAGACAACAAGAGAAGGGCUGUAUAUGAACAUCUUCAUUUUUGUCGGCCUCAUGAUUACACCUUUUGUUCUUGGCAUCAUGCUCGCAUCAGUCAUCAGAGCCAUUAUCCUGACAUGCAGAAAACGCUUUGCCUCUGAACAGUACUCAGGUUUGCGACAUCCAGGGAAAGACAAGGUCCUGAACCAAGGUGAAGAACACACUUAUCAGACUGUACUCUGAGAUCAAACCUCCUCCUUAGACAGGAGAUGCUGGACCUCAACGAGGCUACUGCAAUCCACCGGAAGAUGCUGCAAAUUACUUGAGGACCAUCAACACCUGACCUAUUUCUUAUGGCAAAGUUUGCACGACGGUCAACAAAAUAUUAAUAAAUCAACCUUCACAUUGACAUGCACGAUUUAAAAGCUUCAGCAUUUUAAUUUUUAGCCUACAGUUUGCUUCCAUAGUCUUUCACUUAACGGUUAGAGCUGGUUAUUACUAAACACACUCUUCAAUUUACAUUUUUGUAUAAUUUUGUUUUAAAUUUAUAUAAAUAUUCGACUGCGUUUAGGGUCUUUGUGCUUGUAGUAGAUGCCAGCGUGUUGUUACGUAAGGGGAGGUAACACAGUAGUUACAAUAAAAUUGGUUG